rnacentral:sRNA from 1 species
GCACGUCCCGCCACCGCCGCCGACCCACCAGCGGCAGAAGGGCAGCAAUGGCCACACACCGAAUCACCUUGGCGGGCUAUUCCCCUUGCAGCUCUCCUCAGCGCGCUGCUCCCACUCGCAAUCAAAAGGCGGAAAAAGCGCGAAACCGCCAGGCAUCUCCCAUACCCACCCGGCUGCCGCGCAACCCCUCCUUGGCUUCCACUGGGAGACAGGGGACGCCGAUGAGCAGGAAGAAGCAGGGCAGUGACUGCUUAGUUUAUCCUGACUGUGUCAGAAGCAGAAUCUGAAGUGGAGCUUCUAGUAUCCCCAGGAGCGCGAAGUGAACACGGAAGGUACCUGCAGGAUCCAAUUGUGUCCGUUGAUCUCUCAGAGUGGCUGAGGAUAAUAGGUGUAUGGCUCUGUGUAUCACAUCAAUCACGGGAACCCCUUCAACAUGGAGGUGCUCGUGGAUUCCUGGCCUGAAUAUCA